CCUACGGGAGGCAGCAGUGGGGAAUAUUGGACAAUGGGGGAAACCCUGAUCCAGCGACGCCGCGUGAGUGAAGAAGUAUUUCGGUACGUAAAGCUCUAUCAGCAGGAAAGAAAAUGACGGUACCUGACUAAGAAGCCCCGGCUAACUACGUGCCAACAGCCGCGGUAAUACGUAGGGGGCAAGCGUUAUCCGGAUUUACUGGGGGGAAAGGGAGCGUAGACGGCAGCGCAAGUCUGGAGUGAAAUGCCGGGGCCCAACCCCGGAACUGCUCUGGAAACUGUGAAGCUGGAGUGCAGGAGAGGUAAGCGGAAUUCCUGGUGUAGCGGUGAAAUGCGUAGAUAUCAGGAGGAACACCGGCGGCGAAGGCGGCUUACUGGACUGUAACUGACGUUGAGGCUCGAAGGCGUGGGGAGCAAACAGGAUUAGAUACCCGGGUAGUC
rnacentral:rRNA from 1 species